AGGACAUUGUUUUUGCACCAAGAACAGUCACGUUUCUGACCAUGGAGCUGCCCAAAAACCCAGCUAGCGAGAUGGACGAGGAUAUCCGCCUACUCACACGCCUCACAGGAUUUGGAGAACCCUUUAAGGACAGGAAAGAGGCGUGAUAACUUGAGCCCGUAGCUCCCGGUGCCUGGAGCAGGUCUCCGACAGAUGGAGAAGCCCUGCUUGAUCCAGAGCAGGGACAGAAGUUUGCUGACGUCGACUUAAAAAUCAUAGGGGAAGACGUAGGAGUAGGCACAGCGGCUGCAGACACAGGUACCCCCAGCAUCGAAGGUGCAGGAAGAUCAGGCUCCAGACACAGAUGCCCUACUCCAAGAACACCAGGAGCUCUUGGACAGUUUCGAUGUCCACGAUGAGGCCUCACCACCACCACUCAACGGCCUCAUCAGACUGGGCUACCAGACAGCAAAUGUCUUCAAAAGGAUGGAAGGAGGCGAGGCCAUAUCUCAUUGAUAACUGGCUGGCAGUAGAGGAUCAUCACCCAGAUGUCAACAGUGUUCAACCCAGCUGUCAUGUCAUUAGAAUUUGGCAUUGCCAGAGCUCCAUUGUGAGAACGGCAAGGAGACUGGUACAGCAGGCAUGAAAGACCUGCAAAGGAGUGGCUAUUGACCUGCCGCUGUCUUCUCAACAAACAUGACCUUUUCAUAUGAAAAGCUGAAGAUGGUUGCGCCAGGCAUGCCACAUCAAGCAUUUUUGACAAUGCUUGACCAGAGGACAGUGCGUUUUGGCAGAUGGUCCCCUCCUUCGUCCUGUAGAUGUCAGGCUGGCCAAGGCUGAGGUCCUGAAUGUCCCAAUGGAGGAGUGCAGACAGGAAUCAGAGCCCAGCCAUUUACUCAUGGACCUGAACAAUGAACACAUCAGCGAGAUGGACAGGAGAGUGACAAGCUGCCAGCCAGUCCCAGUUAGGCGGAGUACGUACAGGCCUUAGUCAGCUCCACUAUGUCCUGGGGGACGUGAAGGACAUCCAGAUCUCCCCGGUAGACAUCAGCAAGGACUGGAGGCAAAGCAUAAUCAUUGAAUCCUGAAGGAUGAAAAAUAUACUGGGAUGCAACACAGUUAGAUUGCCUCAGCUGUGGAGAACCUGAAGAAUAUAUUUUCAGUGCCUGAGAUGGUGGCAUACACACCUGAUAGAGCAAGCCGAGCUGCUGCAGGGCCACCACAAGCUGAUGAACCUGGAGGGCUCAUGGACUUACGUCAUGUACGAUCAGUACCGCAUGGACAGCAAGAACACGCACAACAUGAACCUCAUUCAAAACUACUUUGGCGAGGUGCAGGGCCUGUCGGAUGACCUGGCCAAGCAGCUGUGGAUAGUGCUGUAGCGCGCAAAGGGCAAGGCUGGAGGUCACAGUGAGCAAACGCAUCCAGGGCACCCAGUCGAUGACACUUGAGACGGACGAAAGGUGGCUGAACUAUAAUGAUCCUAAAAUCUCUGUUUCGAGUUACAGCCGUACACUGACAAUCUUCUAAGGAUGUUGUUUAUAAAUAGGGCCCUGUGUUUUGCGCAAUCAUGUGACAUAGCAAGACUUUGUCCUGUAUUUAUUUUAAGCCUUAUCCAGAAAUGAGAAUUACACCAAAAAUUAAAGCAAUUGUCUGAGGAUGGUGCUGGACCGUCUGACAGAAAAAGAAAAGAGGACAAAAAGCUUUCAUCAAACUGUUAGUGCAUUCAUCUCCUCACGACUCGACUACUGCUGCCUCCAUAAGCUCCAAAUUGUUCAGAACCCUGCAGCCUGACUCCUCACCCACACUAAGUUCUGGAAGCAUACAAUAAGAAUAAUUUGGUGGGUGCUUAUUUUUGUCCUAUUUCACACAUGUACACGUGUAUUAAUAAGCAUGUGUGAAUUGGAAAUGUGUAUUUUUGCAUAACCCAACUCUCCCUGAGAUACCCCUUGAAGAGUGGGGUCACAGCCAGGGUCUGCCAUUAUCAACAGCGACCCUGGAGCAAUUAGGGUUAAGUAUCUUGCUCAAUGGCACAUCGACAGAUUUUUCACCUAGUCGGCUCGGGGAUUAGAACUAGCGACCUUUCUGUUACUGGCCCAAUGCUCAAACCACUAAGCUACAUGCCACCCAUCAUCAGCGCCAUUCUCCGUGAACUCCACUAGCACCCUGUCUCCCACCGCAUUGAAUACAAGUUCUUCCUUCUGACCUACAAAGCUCUUCAACACCUUGCACCCCCCUUUAUCUCUUAGACCUUAUUCUCCCCUACCAACCCACACACUCACUCUGUUCUACCACAGUUGGCCACCUUGUCAUCUCCAGGUCCAAGCUUCAUAGCUUUGGCGACAGGGCCUUCUGCAGGGAACUCCUUCUCUCCAUCCAUCCAUGACUCUGAGUCCAUUACUAUCCCCCGCUAUCCUCAAACACGCAAGCUCUCCUGUCCAUCAACUUGCCUUGUGCAUCAGGAGCUGGACGUCUACUAUAUGGGAAGUUAUGGCUGGGACACUGCUAAUUAUAACGUUAUGGCUGGUAAUGUUAUCUACCAACAAUUUUGCACCAAACCUAAAUGUUUUAAUGUUGUUUAUUAUCUUACUUCGUGUAAUGCAAUGUUUUUCACAUUGUUUACCCUGAAUGAUGGUAAAACCGAAUUCCCGAUCAGUGAUUGUGCUGUUACGCACCACAGAUAUGUUAUACAGAAUUUGUAGUAGUUGGUACUGACUUGUUUGGCCUCCAGGACAGGAUAGUGCUCCUGGUCAACUGGUAGGUCCUCAGGAGAUUCCCCCUUUCAAUGUACUACACUUGUCACGGAUCCCUCUGGAAAUUUCAUUGCG
rnacentral:lncRNA from 1 species